GUUGGCGGGGUAACGGCCCACCAAGGCAACGAUCAGUAGGGGUUCUGAGAGGAAGGUCCCCCACAUUGGAACUGAGACACGGUCCAAACUCCUACGGGAGGCAGCAGUGAGGAAUAUUGGUCAAUGGGCGAGAGCCUGAACCAGCCAAGUAGCGUGCAGGAAGACGGCCCUAUGGGUUGUAAACUGCUUUUAUAAGGGAAUAAAGUGAGUCUCGUGAGACUUUUUGCAUGUACCUUAUGAAUAAGGACCGGCUAAUUCCGUGCCAGCAGCCGCGGUAAUACGGAAGGUCCGGGCGUUAUCCGGAUUUAUUGGGUUUAAAGGGAGCGUAGGCCGGAGAUUAAGCGUGUUGUGAAAUGUAGACGCUCAACGUCUGCACUGCAGCGCGAACUGGUUUCCUUGAGUACGCACAAAGUGGGCGGAAUUCGUGGUGUAGCGGUGAAAUGCUUAGAUAUCACGAAGAACUCCGAUUGCGAAGGCAGCUCACUGGAGCGCAACCGACGCUGAAGCUCGAAAGUGCGGGUAUCGAACAGGAUUAGAUACCCUGGUAGUCCGCACGGUAAACGAUGGAUGCCCGCUGUUGGUCUGAACAGGUCAGCGGCCAAGCGAAAGCAUUAAGCAUCCCACCUGGGGAGUACGCCGGCAACGGUGAAACUCAAAGGAAUUGACGGGGGCCCGCACAAGCGGAGGAACAUGUGGUUUAAUUCGAUGAUACGCGAGGAACCUUACCCGGGCUUGAAUUGCAGAGGAAGGAUUUGGAGACAAUGACGCCCUUCGGGGUCUCUGUGAAGGUGCUGCAUGGUUGUCGUCAGCUCGUGCCGUGAGGUGUCGGCUUAAGUGCCAUAACGAGCGCAACCCCUCUCCUUAGUUGCCAUCAGGUUAAGCUGGGCACUCUGGGGACACUGCCACCGUAAGGUGUGAGGAAGGUGGGGAUGACGUCAAAUCAGCACGGCCCUUACGUCCGGGGCUACACACGUGUUACAAUGGCAGGUACAGAGAGACGGUUGUACGUAAGUACGAUCAAAUCCUUAAAGCCUGUCUCAGUUCGGACUGGGGUCUGCAACCCGACCCCACGAAGCUGGAUUCGCUAGUAAUCGCGCAUCAGCCAUGGCGCGGUGAAUACGUUCCCGGGCCUUGUACACACCGCCCGUCAAGCCAUGAAAGCCGGGGGCGCCUAAAGUCCGUGACCGUAAGGAGCGGCCUAGGGCGAAACUGGUAAUUGGGGCUAAGUCGUAACAAGGUA
rnacentral:rRNA from 1 species